CUUUUCCGGGAACUGAGUUGGUCGAACGGGAAUGAGUAAACGGCGUAGGGUAACCUAGGCCUCGGUAGACGGGGGAGUAAACUAAUUGGUAAACGAUAAGCUAAUACCGCAUAACAGUAGAUAUCGCAUGAUAGCUGCUUGAAAGGUAGCAAUUGCACCACUACCAGAUGGACCUGCGUUGUAUUAGCUAGUUGGUGAGGUAACGGCUCACCAAGGCAACGAUACAUAGCCGACCUGAGAGGGUGAUCGGCCACACUGGGACUGAGACACGGCCCAGACUCCUACGGGAGGCAGCAGUAGGGAAUCUUCGGCAAUGGACGGAAGUCUGACCGAGCAACGCCGCGUGAGUGAAGAAGGUUUUCGGAUCGUAAAGCUCUGUUGUAAGAGAAGAACGAGUGUGAGAGUGGAAAGUUCACACUGUGACGGUAAUCUUACCAGAAAGGGGCGGCUAACUACGUG
rnacentral:rRNA from 1 species